CCUACGGGUGGCAGCAGUGGGGAAUAUUGCACAAUGGGGGAAACCCUGAUGCAGCGACGCCGCGUGAGCGAAGAAGUAUCUCGGUAUGUAAAGCUCUAUCAGCAGGGAAGAAAAUGACGGUACCUGACUAAGAAGCCCCGGCUAACUACGUGCCAGCAGCCGCGGUAAUACGUAGGGGGCAAGCGUUAUCCGGAUUUACUGGGUGUAAAGGGAGCGUAGACGGGAGUGCAAGUCAGGUGUGAAAUCCCGGGGCUUAACCCCGGAACUGCAUUUGAAACUGUAGGGCUGGAGUGCAGGAGAGGCAGGCGGAAUUCCUAGUGUAGCGGUGAAAUGCGUAGAUAUUAGGAGGAACACCAGUGGCGAAGGCGGCCUGCUGGACGGUAACUGACGGUGAGGCUCGAAAGCGUGGGGAGCAAACAGGAUUAGAUACCCUAGUAGUC
rnacentral:rRNA from 1 species